GACGAACGCUGGCGGCGUGCUUAACACAUGCAAGUCGAACGGUGAAGCGCCUUCCUUUUUGGUGGGUGUGGAUGAGUGGCGAACGGGUGAGUAACACGUGAGUAACCUGCCCCCUUCUUCUGGAUAACCGCAUGAAAGUGUGGCUAAUACGGGAUAUUCUGGGUCUGUCGCAUGAUGGGUCUGGGAAAGAUAUUGUUUCGGUGGGGGAUGGGCUCGCGGCCUAUCAGCUUGUUGGUGGGGUGAUGGCCCACCAAGGCGGUGACGGGUAGCCGGCCUGAGAGGGUGGACGGUCACACUGGGACUGAGACACGGCCCAGACUCCUACGGGAGGCAGCAGUGGGGAAUAUGGCACAAUGGGCGCAAGCCUGAUGCAGCGACGCCGCGUGAGGGAUGGAGGCCUUCGGGUUGUGAACCUCUUUCGCCAGUGAAGCAGGCCUGCCUCGUUUGUGGGUGGGUUGACGGUAGCUGGAUAAGAAGCGCCGGCUAACUACGUG
rnacentral:rRNA from 1 species